rnacentral:misc_RNA from 1 species
GUGAGAAUUCAAUUGAAUUCUUUUUUUCAACAAAUGACUUAUUCCAAAGGAAGCCAUAAUAUUAUUUUGUUUAGUUGAUUUUGGUGCUAAUGUUUACUCUUUUCGGGUGCAUGAUUGGAAAGAUAUUGCUUAAUUUAUUUUUUUAAAUUUUAUUUUAAUGUUCAGGGAACCACGGGCUGUGGAUUUUAAACAGGUGGAUUCUCAUGUUCAUCAAUUGAAGGGUAGUAGUUCUAGGUAUUUGUAUAUAUUAUCUUUUGUUGAUUUAACUGCGUGAUAAAUUCUUUUUAUUUGUGCUUUAGUCAGUACUAAGGCCAAUUACAAAUGUUAAGGCGAAUGGAUGAUGCUAGUCAGUACUUCAAUGAAAUAUCCGUUACUUUCCACCGAGGGCUUCCAAAUCCAUUAAAUAGUGGUUGUGUUGUAACAUAAACCACCAUUGUGUGAAACAUUGAUGAUGCUAGGUCUAAUUUGAAACAUUAUUGUACUUCUGUUUCAUGAUAAAAUAUCAUUUGAGAGGAAUCCUUUUU